CUGCCGCCCCCGGCGGCGACGCACCGAGGGGAGCCGAACGGCAUGGGAAGGCCGGCGGCACAGGGUUAGGGCCCCGUAGGCGGACCCUCAGGCGCGCGCCGAUCACGGCACCUGAGUAGGGCCGGGCACGUGAAACCCGGUCCGAAUCUGGGUGGACCACCAUCCAAGCCUGAAUACUCUCCCGUGACCGAUAGCGAACGAGUACCGCGAGGGAAAGGUGAAAAGCACCCCGGGAGGGGAGUGAAACAGCACCUGAAACCGUGCGCCCGCGAGCAGUCGGAGCCCCCUUCGCGGGGUGACGGCGUGCCUUUUGUAGAAUGAGCCAGCGAGUCGCUGGCCGGCGGCGAGGUUAAGCUAGCAAGCGAGCCGUAGCGAAAGCGAGUCCGAACAGGGCGCCAUCAGUCGCCGGCCGCGGACGCGAAGCCGGGUGAGCUAUCCCUGGGCAGGCUGAAGCGGGGGUAAGACCCCGUGGAGGGCCGAACGGCAGUGCGUUGAAAAGCGCUCCGAUGACCUGGGGAUAGGGGUGAAAGGCCUAUCAAACCCGGAGAUAUCUCGUUCCCCCCGAAAUAGCUUUAGGGCUAGCGUCGGGGGUUCACCGUCGGAGGUAGAGCACCGGAUCGAUGAGGGGGCUUCGCCGCCUACCGAUUCGAACCGAACUCCGAAUGCCGACGGCCCACACCCCGGCAGUCAGAGCAUGUGGGCUAAGCUGUGUGCUCGAGAGGGAAACAGCCCAGACCGCCCGCCAAGGUCCCCAAAUCCGCGCCGAGUGGCAAAGGAUGUGCGCUCGCGCAGACAACCAGGAGGUUGGCUUAGAAGCAGCCACCCCUUCAAAGAGUGCGUAACAGCUCACUGGUCGAGUGGGCGCGCGCCGACAAUACACGGGGCUAAGCGCGGUACCGAAGCGGCGGGAUGAACUUCGUUCAUCGGUAGGGGGGCGUCGAUCGCGGGGCGAAGCGGCCGGGGAACCGAGCCGUGGACCGCGACCGAGCGAGAAUGCUGGCAUGAGUAGCGAGAGUGGAGAGGGUAACUCCACCGCCGUAAACCCGAGGUUUCCUGGGCGAGGCUAAUCCCCCCAGGGUCAGUCGGGGGCUAAGGCGAGGCCGGGAGGCGUAGCCGAA
rnacentral:rRNA from 1 species